rnacentral:piRNA from 1 species
AACCAGGAAAGGCUGUAGAGAAG